rnacentral:rRNA from 1 species
ACCAGGUCUUGACAUCCUUUGACCACUCUAGAGAUAGAGCUUCCCCUUCGGGGGCAAAGUGACAGGUGGUGCAUGGUUGUCGUCAGCUCGUGUCGUGAGAUGUUGGGUUAAGUCCCGCAACGAGCGCAACCCUUAUUGUUAGUUGCCAUCAUUCAGUUGGGCACUCUAGCAAGACUGCCGGUGACAAACCGGAGGAAGGUGGGGAUGACGUCAAAUCAUCAUGCCCCUUAUGACCUGGGCUACACACGUGCU